rnacentral:rRNA from 1 species
GACGAACGCUGGCGGCGUGCCUAACACAUGCAAGUCGAGCGGAGUCGAUCGACGGAAGCCUUCGGGCGGAAGAUGGUUGACUUAGCGGCGGAUGGGUGAGUAACGCGUGGGCAACCUGCCUCGAAGACCGGGAUAACAGCCCGAAAGGGCUGCUAAUACCGGAUGUGGUCAAGGAUCCGCAUGGAUUUUUGAUUAAAGGGGAAACCCGUUUCGAGAUGGGCCCGCGUCCUAUCAGCUAGUUGGUGAGGUAAAAGCUCACCAAGGCGACGACGGGUAGCCGGCCUGAGAGGGUGACCGGCCACACUGGAACUGAGACACGGUCCAGACUCCUACGGGGGCAGCAGUGGGGAAUCUUCCACAAUGGGCGAAAAGCCUGAUGGAGCGACGCCGCGUGAGCGAAGAAGGCCUUCGGGUUGUAAAGCUCUGUCUGGAGGGACGAAGGAAGUGACGGUACCUCCGGAGGAAGCCAACGGCUAACUACGUG